rnacentral:rRNA from 1 species
UACGUAGGCAGCGAGCGUUGUUCGGAGUUACUGGGCGUAAAGGGUGUGUAGGCGGUUGUUUAAGUUUGGUGUGAAAUCUCCCGGCUCAACUGGGAGGGUGCGCCGAAUACUGAAUAACUUGGAGUGCGGGAGAGGAAAGUGGAAUUCCUGGUGUAGCGGUGAAAUGCGUAGAUAUCAGGAGGGACACCGGUGGUGUAGACGGCUUUCUGGACCGUAACUGACGCUGAGACACGAAAGCGUGGGUAGCAAACAGG